rnacentral:rRNA from 1 species
CCUACGGGAGGCAGCAGUGAGGAAUAUUGGUCAAUGGGCGGAAGCCUGAACCAGCCAAGUAGCGUGCAGGAUGACGGCCCUACGGGUUGUAAAUUGUUUUUAUACGGGAAUAACGCGCCUUACGUGUAGGGCUUUGCAUGUACCGUAUGAACAAGGACCGGCUAAGUCCGUGCCAGAAGCCGCGGUAAUACGGUGGGUCCGGGCGUUGUCUGGAUUUAUUGGGUUUAACGGGAGCGUAGGCCGCAUGUCAAGCGUGCUGUGAAAUGUCCGGGCUCAACCCGGGCACUGCAGCGGGAACUGGCGUGCUUGAGUCCGGGGGAGGCAGGCGGAAUU